rnacentral:rRNA from 1 species
ACUAGCAGUAAGAGUUUGAUCCUGGCUCAGAACGAACGCUGGCGGCAGGCCUAACACAUGCAAGUCGAGCGGGCGCAGCAAUGCGUCAGCGGCGCACGGGUGAGUAACGCGUGGGAACCUGCCCUUUGGUUCGGAACAACCCUGGGAAACUAGGGCUGAUACCGGAUGAGCCCUGACCGUGAGGUUGGGGGAAAGAUUUAUCGCCGAAGGAGGGGCCCGCGUCCGAUUAGCUAGUUGGUGGGGUAAUGGCCUACCAAGGCUGCGAUCGGUAGCCGGUCUGAGAGGACGAUCGGCCACACUGGGACUGAGACACGGCCCAGACUCCUACGGGAGGCAGCAGUGGGGAAUAUUGGACAAUGGGCGCAAGCCUGAUCCAGCCAUGCCGCGUGGGUGAUGACGGCCUUCGGGUUGUAAAGCCCUUUUGGCGGGGACGAUGAUGACGGUACCCGCAGAAUAAGCCCCGGCUAACUUCGUGCCAGCCGCCGCGGUAAUAC